UCUACCACUUCGGCACUGCCAACCUGCCUACUGCUGCCAACCUAUCUACCACUGCCAACCUAUCUACCGCGGCGAAUCUAUCUAUCGCUGCCAACCAACCUACCUGCUGCUGCCAACCUACCUACCGCUGUCAAUCUAUCUACCGCGGUGAAUCAUUACUAGUUCAAAAUAGGACUAGAGUAUAAAUACACUAAACUUCUUUUGAUAGGUCAUGAUUUUUGGUAAUAAUCCACAAGCGAGGAGAACACACCUCUUUUGACUUGAGUCAAGAUUAGCUGUUUCUAUGCCUCAACCACUGAUUAAAUAAGACUAAUUACAUUAUAUAUUAUUUUCUGUACACUGAGAGUAUGUACAGACAGUGUGUUCAAUAAUCUUAUAUACACUACACUGUGAUAUUAUAUCUGCUUCUGUGAUUGAGGCUAUACUUUAUAUAUAAUCUAUUUUCUCUUCAAUUCUUAGAAUCUUUUUCUGAGUUAUAUAUAUGUAUUCUUUUUCAUACUUUCUCUUUUAUUUAAUAUUUGCAGCUCUUAAUUUCUUAUUUUUUUUCUUGAAAAAAGUUAUUUUAUAUAUGUGAUAAGUUAGCAUCUAUUAAUAAUGUGUGUACUUCACCACUUUCCGAGACACUAAGUCAUAUAAUAUAGUUGGUUUUUAAAGCA
rnacentral:sRNA from 1 species